rnacentral:lncRNA from 1 species
CCACUGCUAAUUUAUAACAAAUAGUGGGAUAUAUGUGAAUGAAACGGUACUGAAAAUUACAUUUCUGGCUUCUGAUCAUAGAUCAUUAAAUGUUCUUUCUAUUUGUGUUGAAAGACAAAGGAGUAACACGCACUGUUUGAUCUAUAGUAUUAUUUUUUCUUGGAUUGAAGAAUCUAGUGCAGACUGUCAGGGUAACACACCGGAGGGAUCUGAGAGACGAGAGGCAGCAACGACCACUGUAGGACAGGUGUCUUCCUCCAUGUGUCCUGAGGUUAACCCCAGUGCUCCCGAGAUGGGAACAGAAAUCUGUGAACCUGACAGCCUGGGUGAUGCGAGUAGAAAAGGUGUUUCAGAAAAUGCUGCCAAUCAGUCCACUGAAAAGCCUCUUCAAGAGGACUCUUCCUGUCAGACAUCUGCCUUACGUGAAAAGAAAGGUGGUGAAAGGGGCCAGGGGGACUCCAGUCCGAAAUCCAAGACUGGUCUUGUAGAAGGAACUGACACUCAGUCCACUCAACCGCCUCUUCAACAGAAGGACUGGGCUUCGAGAGAGGGAUCUGCCUGCCCUAAAGUGAAAGAUGCUGAAAAUGUCCAGGUGGACAGUGACAGAAAAGACAAGAGUAUUAGCUGUAAACAGGACAUUGAUAAAGAAAUCCAGCAAGGUUCUGACCAAAGAAACAAGAGUGGUAAGACCACCAUAAUAUAAAUGCAAUCUAAUGACUGUUUUCUUUGGAAUAUAUGAAUAGUGUUGUAAGGCGUGUAUAUUUUUUUAAUCUGUAUGAAGGUCUUUAUAUGCAUGGCUUAGUUUUGAGAUCGUUGGAUCAAUUGGACAGUUGGAUGGACCUUGAUUCAAAUGAUUGUAGGCUUUUUAUUUUACAUGUCAGACUUUGAAUUAUAUUUUUU